rnacentral:tRNA from 1 species
GGUUGUGUGGCUCAGCGGUAGAGCACUUACCUAGAGUGUGUGAGGCCCUAGGUUUGAUUCUUAGCACUACACA